GGGGAAUGUGUCAAAGAGACAACAACCCGACCAAAUAAAAACAACAGCAGAGGGUCACCAACAGGUCUUCAAUGUAGCGAGAAAUUCCCGCACCCGGAGGCGUCCUUCAGCUGGCCCCUGAAAAAAUAUAUACUAGUCCAGUGAUAAUGAACGCCAUACUAAUUUCCAAAUUGUACACAAGAAACUAAAAUUAAAAUAAUACAAGACUAACAAAGGCCAGAGGCUCCUGACUUGGGACAGGCGCAAAAAUGCGGCGGGGUUAAACAUGUUUGUGAGAUCUCAACCCUCCCCCUAUACCUCUAACCAAUGUAGAAAAGUAAACGCCUAACAAUACGCACAUUAAAAUUCAGUUCAAGAGAAGUCCGAGUCUGAUGUCAGAAGAUGUAACCAAAGAAAAUAAACAAAAUGACAAAAAUACAUAAAUAACAACAGACUACUAGCAGUUAACUGACAUGCCAGCUCCAGACUUCAAUUAAACUGACUGAAAGAUUAUGAUUUCAUCAUAUGAACAUCAGGCACA
rnacentral:lncRNA from 1 species